rnacentral:lncRNA from 1 species
AAUUUUAAACCAAAGUUACCCUCCUUCUUCGCUACCGGAAGAAGAUAGGCCUUCAAAUAGCAAUGAAAACCCUAGGUAUGAAUCCCUAGGUUCAGACUUCGAUUCAGUCACCAAAAAAAACCGAGAAACGAUGUCGGAAAGAUACCCAAACAUCCACAAGAUGAGAAUCGGACCACCAGAAUGCGGUAAAACACUAAAACAAAGUCACUGAAAACCCUAAUCACCGACAACUCACCAAAACCACCACAAAAGCGAUCAAAAUGUUGUUAAAC